GCAACCGGAAGGAUCCAAGGCAUGCGAGUCAUUGUAGUAAUACAAGGCAGACGGCUCAGUAACGCGUAGUCAAUCUACCCUAUGGACGAGGAUAACCUCGGGAAACUGAGAAUAAUACUCGAUAGAACACUAUGCCUGGAAUGGUUUGUGUUUGAAAUGAUUUAUCGCCGUAGGAUGGGACUGCGGCCUAUCAGUUUGUUGGUGAGGUAAUGGCCCACCAAGACUAUUACAGGUACGGGCUCUGAGAGGAGUGGCCCGGAGAUGGGUACUGAGACACGGACCCAGGCCCUAUGGGGCGCAGCAGGCGAGAAAACUUUGCAAUGUGCGAAAGCACGACAAGGUUAAUCCGAGUGGUUUCUGCUAAAGGAACCUUUUGUCAGUCCUAGAAACACUGAUGAAUAAGGGGUGGGCAAGUUCUGGUGUCAGCCGCCGCGGUAAAACCAGCACCUCAAGUGGUCAGGAUGAUUAUUGGGCCUAAAGCAUCCGUAGCCGGCUAUGUAAGUUUUCGGUUAAAUCUGUGCGCUUAACGUACAGGCUGCCGGGAAUACUGCAUAGCUAGGAAGUGGGAGAGGUAGACGGUACUCGGUAGGAAGGGGUAAAAUCCUUUGAUCUAUUGAUGACCACCUGUGGCGAAGGCGGUCUACCAGAACACGUUCGACGGUGAGGGAUGAAAGCUGGGGGAGCAAACCGGAUUAGAUACCCGGGUAGUCCCAGCCGUAAACUAUGCAAACUCAGUGAUGCAUUGGCUUGUGGCCAAUGCAGUGCUGCAGGGAAGCCGUUAAGUUUGCCGCCUGGGAAGUACGUACGCAAGUAUGAAACCUAAAGGAAUUGGCGGGGGAGCACCACAAGGGGUGAAGCCUGCGGUUCAAUUGGAGUCAACGCCGGG
rnacentral:rRNA from 1 species